CUGCGCCCGCUGACGUGACGAGUCCCCGGUUGUGUUACCGGCGGUGAAGCAGUGUUGCGUCUGUCCCUGGUGGUCAUGCUGUGGUGGACAGCGGUGUGGAGGGAGAGGUGGAUGUGACCCAUGAACUACCUCUAACAAUGGUGAUGAAGAACCAGAAGUGGGUUGUAGGUGACGAGAUAACUAUCCCAGGUCAUCCCGGAAGUGGCGAGGUGACCCCAUACAGCUCCACAAGGUCGUGGAGGACGCCAGAUAUAGCCACGUGGUCGCCUACACUCAGCCAUCCACCUCACCUGCCCCAGACUGCUACCCGGACACCAUCCAGCCACAAGAACCCAGAUAAGCACUUCCGGGUUCCUUGGUUGUGGUUAGCUAGCUAGUUUGUUUAGGGGUCACUUGCUGUACAUAGGAACCCUCCUCGGUCUGCUGCUAUUUUUUUUAUUUUUAUUUUUGAGGUGUAACGCUGUCCUCUACGUGAGAGUGAUAGUGUUUAUCUUUAUUUAUUUAUUUUUUUUUUCCUGAAGACCAGUUCUGAGGUUAUCUUGGAGGUUAACGGAGAAGAGUUCUUCACACCUGUGUUUGUUGUUUUAUUUUAUUUUUUUAUUGGUCACUUUUUGUUUUUUGUUGUGAUU